rnacentral:rRNA from 1 species
ACGGGGGGUGCGAGCGUUGUCCGGAAUCACUGGGCGUAAAGGGCGCGUAGGCGGGAUGGUAAGUCGGUCGUGAAAUCCCUCGGCUCAACCGAGGAACGUCGAUCGAUACUACCGUUCUUGAGGAUUGCAGAGGAGACUGGAAUUCCCGGUGUAGCGGUGAAAUGUGUAGAGAUCGGGAGGAACACCGGUGGCGAAGGCGGGUCUCUGGGCAAUUCCUGACGCUGAGGCGCGAAAGCGUGGGGAGCAAACGGGA